rnacentral:rRNA from 1 species
AACUACUGGAAACGGUAGCUAAUACCGCAUAACGUCGCAAGACCAAAGAGGGGGACCUUCGGGCCUCUUGCCAUCGGAUGUGCCCAGAUGGGAUUAGCUUGUUGGUGGGGUAACGGCUCACCUAGGCGACGAUCCCUAGCUGGUCUGAGAGGAUGACCAGCCACACUGGAACUGAGACACGGUCCAGACUCCUACGGGAGGCAGCAGUGGGGAAUAUUGCACAAUGGGCGCAAGCCUGAUGCAGCCAUGCCGCGUGUAUGAAGAAGGCCUUCGGGUUGUAAAGUACUUUCAGCGGGGAGGAAGGGAGUAAAGUUAAUACCUUUGCUCAUUGACGUUACCCGCAGAAGAAGCACCGGCUAACUCCGUGCCAGCAGCCGCGGUAAUACGGAGGGUGCAAGCGUUAAUCGGAAUUACUGGGCGUAAAGCGCACGCAGGCGGUUUGUUAAGUCAGAUGU